rnacentral:rRNA from 1 species
UACGUAGGGGGCGAGCGUUGUCCGGAAUCAUUGGGCGUAAAGCGCGUGUAGGCGGCUCGGUAAGUCUGCUGUGAAAGUCCAGGGCUCAACCCUGGGAUGCCGGUGGAUACUGUCGGGCUAGAGUGCGGAAGAGGCGAGUGGAAUUCCUGGUGUAGCGGUGAAAUGCGCAGAUAUCAGGAGGAACACCGAUUGCGAAGGCAGCUCGCUGGGACGUAACUGACGCUGAGGUGCGAAAGCGUGGGGAGCAAACAGG